rnacentral:misc_RNA from 1 species
CAAAGCUCCACUCCAGGACUCUGAGUAGCCAGACUGGACGUCACUGAAGGAGGCAGAUAGAAACCAAAUACAAUUGACAUUUAUUGGCCAAUAUAUAUUUAUAAGGCCCGAACGGAAGUGGCCGAAAACCCCGAAAGGAGCGAGAGAAUAGCCACACAGACUGGAGACUGGCUAUAAAAGAGAAGCAAAGAUACGAAAAAUAUAUAUUUCAAUGCUGUCGAAGCUGCAUAAAAACUGUCCAGCGACAGGCCAAGGGGCAGCUCCUCCUCCACGCCACAUGCAAAUGUCCGCAAGGAGAGCAGCAGCGAGUGGGAAGCGGACGGCCACGAUGCCACAAACUGGGCGGGGCUGCAUCUGCUGGCUGGCCGUGAUCGGACUUCUCGUGCUGGUUCCUGAUUUUAUUGCGGCACUCAAGGAUGUCUCCGUAAUGAUACCACAGGCAGUGAAACGUGGCAGUAAUGCCUUGUUCACGUGUAAUUACGAUAUGGAAAACGAUACUCUAUAUUCGGUGAAAUGGUAUAAGGGUAAGCGUGAGUUUUAUCGCUACACGCCCAAGGAGAAUCCGGCCAUGAAGGUCUUCGCCAUGACAAGUGGUCUCAAUGUUGAGCGCAACCUUUCGAAUCAAAGUCAUGUCGUGCUGCAGUCGGUGCCGUUGAAUAUUUCGGGCAAAUUUACAUGCGAAAUAUCCGUUGAGGCGCCCACAUUCCAAACCGCCAUGGUGUCCGGCGAAAUGGAGGUGGUUGAGCUACCGGAAGAGCACACCGUGGUCACCGGGAUACAGGCGCGCUAUCGCAUUGGCGAUUUGGUCGAUGGCAAUUGCUCAAUUAAAUACUCGAAACCGGCUGCUAAUUUGACAUGGACUAUUAAUGGUAUUGUGGUGCCACCGCAUCACAUCAAGACGUAUCAGAUUGAGAAACAGGAGAAUACCACACUGGAAUCGGUUACAAGUGCCAUACAUUUCAUGGUCACCACUCAGCAUUUUCUCAAGGGCCAGAUGAGGCUCAAGUGCACGGCCAAUAUCUUUGACAUCUUCAAGGAGGAAAUGGAGAGUGUUAUUGAGGAGGACAGACCCAGGAUAAUGGCCUCCGGCAGGUCGUACGAUAUCAACAACUAUCCGCUCGAUGAGCAUACGAAUGGCGAGAGAGGCUUCGAGGAUCACAAUGAAUCAUAUUUGACAUACUAUUCGGCGGAUAAUAGUGCAUCAGGCGCUUCGACAGCUGCACAUGAAAUCUUUUGGCACGUCUGGCCAUCGAAGCUCGGGGCAGCACUUCGGAUCAGACUCCACAUCAACAGGCAGCUGGUGGGGGCGUGGCCGUGGGACGCACUCGGUGCCUGGAUUACGCAAGCAGCGGAUCCAGGAGCAGCUACAGCUCUUUUGUGUCUGCUAGGGCUGCUGGCCCAUCAAAUUAUCAACUGUCAAUACACAAAGAAAUCGACAGCGACAGCAACAGGGACAGCGACAGGAACAUCGAUGGGGCAGCAGCAGCAGCAGCAACCGUUGCCAGUCGAAGCGGAGGCUGUGACAAUGUCAAAGGCGGCCAAAUCCGCAGCUAGAGCGAGCGUCAAAUGCUUUUAUAAUUGUCAAAUGGCAAUGGCAAUGGCAACAUACAAUCCCCAUCCCCACAUGAAAAUCCAGGAGGAGAAGGAUGAUGUGAAUGGAACUGGGACUGAGACUGAGACUGAGACUGGGACCGUGGAGGGAGACGAUGAUGAUGCGAAUGUUGCAAGUGUGGCAAAUGCCGGCGAUGAUUUAACUGCAACUGCAGCGGGAAUGGCAAAGGCUAAGGGCAAAGAAAGGGGAGCUGCAACAGUGCCAUCUGGAGUUGCCGUUAAGCGACUGUCAGCGACACUUGUGGGCGUGGCACGGCCCUGGCUGGAUCAACGAUUAUUGAUGACUCGACGACGGAAGAUGUGGAAGCCUGUUCUGGGGGACUCCGACUGCCUCUCGUGCUGAUGCCGAAUUGAUGAUGAAAUCCAUUUCCAAAAGUAGCUUAAGGUGUUUGCCCACUUGUGCUACAGUGAAGCCUCUCUCUCCUCUUCUCCCUGUCUUCCUAUCCCCACCCUACCAUCAUUUUCAUGCCCGGCAAAGUGAAAAGUUGGAGGAAAUAAUUAAUAUAUAUGAAUAUUAAUUGGAAUCGCCAGCUGGAUGGCUGGAUGCCUGGGACGCUGUAGUUCGUAAGUGUUAUGCAUAAGGUCAGGGCCGAAGAAGGAGCGAGAAUAAUUAAAUAUAGCCAGAAAGGGAAGACCUUCGAGGAAUCAUUGAAUAAUAACAGGAAAUAUAGUCUUGUACGAAUAUGUAUUAUUGUAAGAUGAUGAAAAGGUAUAUGAAAUAUGCAUAUAACUAGAUGAUAAAAUCGGUAAAAUAGUGUAAACAUCGACCCUGGCACAACCCUACGGUUUGAGAGAAAUGCGUGUGUGAAUUAGUAUUUUGUUGUUGCUGAAAUUCAAUUCAGAAAAAAUACACAAUGGUAACAGUCCCUUCAAUCAUUGAUGGUAUGUUACUCUUCGUGAAAGGCUGUUGGCAACUUUAAUAUGAUUUGUUUGGAAGUAAUAUGUGGGAUUGUUUAGGAAUGAUGACACCCUUUCAUGGAUUUGUAUUCUGCAAAUUGCAGUGAUUCAAAUGUACAUAUUCUACUCCGUUUGAGAUUCAGUGUAUUCAGAAUUCAGCUGCAUUCUUAUAAGCAAAUACAGCUUGCAGCAAAGCUUUUAAAGCUUGAGUUCUAAAGGGAGACAGAGCAAGAAUAGUCAAACCAACAACAACAACAACCAAAACAAACAAACCUUGCUAAUCGAAGCAACAUCAACAACAUUUACAGUUCUUUGUGGUUUUGUGUGACGAUCUUAAGUCACAUAUUAAGCUUGCAUAUUCAAAGAACAACAACGCUACAGUCGAAUCUCGCUAACUUGAUCUUGGCUAAUGCAAUUUGGUGGUUCCACGUAGCCAAGUUUGACUGUAAAAAGAAGAAUAGCAAUACGAAGAAGAGUGAAAACGAAACCUAUACGAUGUACAGCAAGUUGAAUUUUGGACUGCACUUCGUAAGCUUCUUAGGCCAAUUAGACAAUGCUGUUGAAGACUGUGUGACACUUCAGACUCCAGCUACUGACUGGCUA